UACGUAGGAGGCAAGCGUUGUCCGGAAUUAUUGGGCGUAAAGAGCGUGUAGGUGGGAUGGUAAGUCCAUCUUAAAAGUGCGGGGCUCAACCCCGUGAUGGGAUGGAAACUAUCAUUCUUGAGUGCAGGAGAGGAAAGCGGAAUUCCCAGUGUAGCGGUGAAAUGCGUAGAUAUUGGGAGGAACACCAGUGGCGAAGGCGGCUUUCUGGACUGUGUCUGACACUGAGGCGCGAAAGCCAGGGGAGCGAACGGG
rnacentral:rRNA from 1 species